UUUCGGUUAUCGCCCAGAGAGGAACAAGGUCGCGGGGAGAGGAGCUGUUGGUAUGCUGCCGCCAUUUCUUCCGCCUUCCGUCUCUGCGCCUUUCGCUGAGUUUCCAACAGCGCUAUGUUGGGACAGAGCAUUCGGAGGUUCACAACCUCUGUGGUCCGAAGAAUCCACUAUGAGGAGGGUCCAGGGAAGAAUUUACCAUUUUCAGUGGAAAAUAAGUGGCGGUUACUAGUUAUGAUGACUUUGUACUUUGGUUCUGGAUUUGUUGCACCUUUCUUUAUAGUAAGACAUCAACUGCUUAAAAAAUAAUCCAGGAAACAGAUAGGAAGAGGAGCAUUUUAAGAGGUGCAAUCUCUGAAAAAAUAAAAGGAUCAAACUCUUGGAACUCAACAUACUAGAUAUGUUUGUAAAUAAACUAAUGGCAUAAAAAA